rnacentral:rRNA from 1 species
GACGAGGGACCCUAGCGUUGUUCGGAAUCAUUGGGCGUAAAGCGGGUGUAGGUGGCUUUGUAAGUCAGGUGUGAAAGCCCAGGGCUCAACCCUGGAAGUGCAUUUGAUACUGCGAAGCUUGAGUGCUGGAGAGGUUACUGGAAUACCUGGUGUAGUGGUGAAAUACGUAGAUAUCAGGAGGAACACCGGAGGCGAAGGCGGGUAACUGGCCAGACACUGACACUCAGACGCGAAAGCGUGGGGAUCAAACAGG